UUCUAGCUUCCACUGUGAUCACUGUCUCUGUAAUUCUGCUGCUGCUUCUGAUUGGAAUCAUAAUCCUCAUUCUGACUCUACAAAACAGACACAAGAUGCAAGCAGGAGCAGCUUCUGUUGGCAGGCAUUCUGACCAAGACUCAGGAAAUGAAAAGAGGGUUUGUCUUGCUCUGUGUGACUAUGAGGAGAUGAAAUAUGCUGAAAGUCUGAUUUACACAACAGUAAGUUUUUACAGCAAUGCCACUAGCUCUAAUGAAUCAGCUACAAUCAUUAAUGAUGAGGUGUUGUGUGACUAUACUUCAGUCACUUACACUGCUGUAUGCGGAUAGAUUAUUGGAUCAUGAUUUGUGGUCCAAGCAUGUG